rfam:Triticum aestivum genome assembly, contig: Triticum_aestivum_CS42_TGACv1_scaffold_559322_7AL
UUCCUACUCCCUCCGUCCAGAAAUACUUGUCAUCAAAAUGAAUAAAAGGGGAUGUAUCUAGAUGUAUUUUAGUUUUAGAUACAUCUUUUUUUAUCCAUUUUGAUGACAAGUAUUUUUGUGCGGAGGGAGUAUAUG